UACGUAGGGUGCAAGCGUUGUCCGGAUUUAUUGGGCGUAAAGAGCUCGUAGGCGGCUUGUUGCGUCGACUGUGAAAACCCGCGGCUUAACUGCGGGCUUGCAGUUGAUACGGGCAGGCUAGAGUUCGGUAGGGGAGACUGGAAUUCCUGGUGUAGCGGUGAAAUGCGCAGAUAUCAGGAGGAACACCGGUGGCGAAGGCGGGUCUCUGGGCCGUAACUGACGCUGAGGAGCGAAAGCAUGGGGAGCGAACAGG
rnacentral:rRNA from 1 species